rnacentral:lncRNA from 1 species
GGACCACACCAUGAAGUAAAAAUAAAUAAAUAUACACAGGUGGUAGCAGCAAGGAAAAAAGCUGAAGGAGAAAUCGGUGCAUUUCUCACUUAUUAUGACAUUUCCUUGAUUUUAAGCGUAAUUAAUUCUGUUUCAGCUGCACGGUUUCUGCACACUUCCUUUGAAACAUCUGUAAUUCUUUCUGGCAUUGAUCUGAAGCAAUACAGUGCGGCUUCAUCUGAGAAGAAUAUUAUAAGCUUUCCUCCUCUCAUUCAUCAACACCCCAGGCUCUUCAAGAGGUUUGCUCUGCUAUACAAUUGAAGGACUGAAUUAAGCAAAAAUAAGGUAACUGGCUGUGGUCAGCACGUGUUUGUGGACACAGAGCACACAUUCAUUACAGGAUAAGCCAUAAAGCAGAACCUCAAGAUGCAUGGUCCUAGUUAAAGGCAACGUGUAUUUGUUUUGUAAGACAUUAUCUAUGUAUGGCUGAUUAGGUACCCUGCGUAAAACUAAGAUAUUACUAAGUUCACUUUUAAAAAGUGCAAUCGGUAGAUGAAAUGCACCAUCUUAUGAAGGUUUUACAUUUACAUAAGAAAUGUAUUGAUUUUCCUUAUUUCAAACUUCCUUCCCCUAAUAAACUGGAAGGAAGAAACAGCAUUUGAAAUGUCUUGGUAAACACAAAGGUUUUAAGAAUAUUUGGAUGUUUUAGCAGUGCACAGUCCCAGAUUCUGAAAAAUUCACCCAAUUCAAGAGUCAACUGUCUGGAAAAAUGAAGGCUUCAACAUACUAAGAAAUCAGGAUACUCUGGAGAAUAGACACAGCAUUGACUGAAUCAUAUCUAAGGCUUUAGAAAUGCUUGCAGUGUACAGGAAGGACUCGUGCAGGAUUUGUGUUCCAGAAAAGCAGUCUAUCUGCCAGUGGCUACCAUUGCUCCAUGCAAUGGUGCUUCCAAGCAUUCUCUAGCAAGGCUGCACAUGCAGCCUGCAGCAGACCUGCAGCAGCGCACACAGUUUCUAAUCUCCACAAGUUUACAAGCAGCUUUUUCCCCAGAACGUUGCAGGAUUUGGGCAAUGCUGACAGUCUGUUACUAUGAAAUCUCUUAUGUUGACAGUUGCAACACUGAUUACAGAUUUAAGCAGUUGGAUACCAAGGAACUUCCAAGUCACAGCACAUCUCUGCACAUCAUAGCCAGAGUAGCAGUCCAACACAAAUGGGACCUCACUUUCCCCAAUAACAGGGUAAGUAAUCAUGACAGAGGGUCACACUCUCCUUCACAACUUGUUGGCAUUGAUUCCAUACUCUUCUGUUUGUCUCAUGUGCUAGUGUACACAGUCCACUUUUAUUUAAUUGCCUGUUUGUCCUAGGAUCUCCUUUUUUAUCGCAUUUCCUGAAACAUCUCUGUGCCUUGUGCCUCAGUAGUCACAACACUGUCUUCAGCUCCCCACAGUGACCUUGGCAUGUCCUUACUGUUGCUGCGGUGGCUGCACAAGUGAUGGAUAUUAACAGGUCAGACUGUGUGAAGGAUUUGGGAGACAGAGUCUAUUCUUAUCUCUGUCACUUGGCUUAGUGGGUCACCUUGGAGGAGUACCUUCCCUGUUAAGUCUCCUCGUAUGUAGGAAGAGAUAUUUAAUAUUUCUGGAAGAAAAG